rnacentral:rRNA from 1 species
AGUGAACGCUGGCGGUAGGCCUAACACAUGCAAGUCGAACGGCAGCACAGUGUACGCUUGCUCUUACGGGUGGCGACUGGCGGACGGGUGAGGCAUACAUCGUCAUCUACUUUUUCGUGGGCGAUAACUUAGGGAAACUUCCGCUAAUACCUCAUACCUCUUACCGCUGGAAUCAGGUGAUCUUCGUACCUUUCCCUCAUUCAUGAGUCGAUGUCGGAUUAGUUAGUUGGCUGGGUAAAGGCCCACCAAGCCGACGAACCGUAGCUGGUCUGCGAGGAUGAUCAGCCACACGGGAAUGGAGAAACGGUCCAAACUCCUACGGGAGGAAGAAGUGGGGAAUAUUGGACAAUGGGCGAAAGCCUGAUCAAGAAAUACCGCGUGGGUGAAGAAGGCCUUCGGGUUGUAAAGCCCUUUUGUUGGGAAAGAAAAGCAGCAGGUUAAUACCCCGAUGUAGUGACGGUACCUAAAGAAUAAGCACCGGCUAACUUCGUG